rnacentral:rRNA from 1 species
UACGUAGGGUGCAAGCGUUAAUCGGAAUUACUGGGCGUAAAGCGUGCGCAGGCGGCUGUGCAAGACAGAUGUGAAAAUCCCCCGGGCUCAACCUGGGAACUGCAUUUGUGACUGCAUAGCUAGAGUACGGUAGAGGGGGGAUGGAAUUCCGCGUGUAGCAGUGAAAUGCGUAGAUAUGCGGAGGAACACCGAUGGCGAAGGCAAUCCCCUGGACCUGUACUGACGCUCAUGCACGAAAGCGUGGGGAGCAAACAGG